GCCCGGGUGGCGAAACUGGUAGACGCAGCAGACUCAAAAUCUGCCGCCAGCAAUGGUGUAUCGGUUCGAUUCCGAUCUCGGGCACAA
rnacentral:tRNA from 1 species